AUUGAACGCUGGCGGCAUGCCUUACACAUGCAAGUCGAACGGUAACAGGUCUUCGGAUGCUGACGAGUGGCGAACGGGUGAGUAAUACAUCGGAACGUGCCUCGUAGUGGGGGAUAACUACUCGAAAGAGUGGCUAAUACCGCAUGAGAUCUACGGAUGAAAGCCGGGGAUCGCAACACCUUGUGCUACUAGAGCGGCCGAUGGCAGAUUAGGUAGUUGGUGGGAUAAAAGCUUACCAAGCCGACGAUCUGUAGCUGGUCUGAGAGGACGAUCAGCCACACUGGGACUGAGACACGGCCCAGACUCCUACGGGAGGCAGCAGUGGGGAAUUUUUGACAAUGGGCGCAAGCCUGAUCCAGCAAUGCCGCGUGCAGGAUGAAGGCCUUCGGGUUGUAAACUGCUUUUGUACGGAACGAAAAGCCCCGGGUUAAUACCCUGGGGUCAUGACGGUACCGUAAGGAUAAGCACCGGCUAACUACGUGCCAGCCGCCGCAGUAA
rnacentral:rRNA from 1 species